rnacentral:rRNA from 1 species
UACAGAGGGGGCAAGCGUUGUUCGGAAUUACUGGGCGUAAAGGGCUCGUAGGCGGCCAACUAAGUCGGACGUGAAAUCCCUCAGCUUAACUGGGGAACUGCGUCCGAUACUGAAUGGCUUGGAUUUGGGAGAGGGAUGCGGAAUUCCAGGUGUAGCGGUGAAAUGCGUAGAUAUCUGGAGGAACACCGGUGGCGAAGGCGGCAUCCUGGACCAAUAUUGACGCUGAGGAGCGAAAGCCAGGGGAGCAAACGGG